UAACAACAUCAGUGCCAAGUUUUGUCCGAAUCUGGCAAUAUGGUGAUAUAGGCUCACUUAGGGGAGUCUAUAUCACCAUAUUGCCAGAUUCGGACAAAACUUGACACUGAUGUUGUUAG
rnacentral:pre_miRNA from 1 species